AUUGAACGCUGGCGGAAUGCUUUACACAUGCAAGUCGAACGGCAGCACGGACUUCGGGCUGGUGGCGAGUGGCGAACGGGUGAGUAAUGUAUCGGAACGUGCCCAGUCGUGGGGGAUAACGUAGUGAAAAUUACGCUAAUACCGCAUACGAUCUAUGGAUGAAACAGGGGGAGCGCAAGACCUCGCGCGAUUGGAGCGGCCGAUAUCGGAUUAGGUAGUUGGUGGGGGAAAGGCCCACCAAGCCAACGAUCUUUAGCUGGUCUGAGAGGAAGACCAGCCACCCUGGAACUGAGACACGGUCCAGACUCCUACGGGAGGCAGCAGUGGGGAAUUUUGGACAAGGGGCGAAAGCCUGAUCCAGCCAUUCCGCGUGCAGGAUGAAGGCCCUCGGGUUGUAAACUGCUUUUGUACAGAACGAAAAGGUUUCUACUAAUACUAGGAGCUCAUGACGGUACUGUAAGAAGAAGCACCGGCUAACUACGUGCCAGCCGCCGCCGUAA
rnacentral:rRNA from 1 species